AUGUUCAUUGCCGAAGGAAACUGGAGAAUUGACUGGUGUGUUGAUGUAGUAGUAGCAGAAGCUUUGCCUCUAAGGUUCGGUCUAAUUCUUGCACAGAAGGCGGGUUGGAAUCGUCUUGUUGUCAACUCUGACAAUAUGGAAGUGAUUGACACAAUGAAGAAUGGAGGACAAUCGGCGAGAACAGCGGCAACAGUGCUUGAUGAUUGCUAUUUCAUAGCUUGCGAUUUUUCUCUUGUUAGGUUGAAACAUCGUAAUAGGGAAGCAAAUAAAGUGGCUCAUGAACUAGCUAGGCUAGUGAAAUUUUUAGUCACUAGGGAUUGAUUUGAGGAUCCUAUAAUUGAAAUUGUAACUUUACUUAUUGACGACGUAACUACUAUUUCUAAUUAA
rnacentral:rRNA from 1 species